rnacentral:rRNA from 1 species
GCAAUGAUGCGUAGCCGAACUGAGAGGUUGAUCGGCCACAUUGGGACUGAGGCACGGCCCAAACUCCUACGGGAGGCAGCAGUAGGGAAUCUUCCACAAUGGGCGAAAGCCUGAUGGAGCAACGCCGCGUGGGUGAAGAAGGUCUUCGGAUCGUAAAACCCUGUUGUUAGAGAAGAAAGUGCGUGAGAGUAACUGUUCACGUUUCGACGGUAUCUAACCAGAAAGCCACGGCUAACUACGUGCCAGCAGCCGCGGUAAUACGUAGGUGGCAAGCGUUAUCCGGAUUUAUUGGGCGUAAAGGGAACGCAGGCGGUCUUUUAAGUCUGAUGUGAAAGCCUUCGGCUUAACCGGAGUAGUGCAUUGGAAACUGGGAGACUUGAGUGCAGAAGAGGAGAGUGGAACUCCAUGUGUAGCGGUGAAAUGCGUAGAUAUAUGGAAGAACACCAGUGGCGAAAGCGGCUCUCUGGUCUGUAACUGACGCUGAGGUUCGAAAGCGUGGGUAGCAAACAGGAUUAGAUACCCUGGUAGUCCACGCCGUAAACGAUGAAUGCUAAGUGUUGGAG